rnacentral:rRNA from 1 species
UACGGAGGGUGCAAGCGUUGUCCGGAUUUAUUGGGUUUAAAGGGUGCGUAGGCGGCCGAUUAAGUCAGUGGUGAAAUACUGCAGCUCAACUGUAGCAUUGCCAUUGAUACUGGUUGGCUUGAGUGCAGACGAGGUAGGCGGAAUUUAUGGUGUAGCGGUGAAAUGCAUAGAUACCAUAAAGGACACCGAUUGCGAAGGCAGCUUACUAGGCUGUAACUGACGCUGAGGCACGAAAGCGUGGGGAUCGAACAGG